rnacentral:tRNA from 1 species
GCAGGCGUAGUUUAAUGGUAGAACCCCAGCUUCCCAAGCUGUUGGUACGGGUUCGAUUCCCGCCGCUUGCUCCA